GACGAAGGAUGCAAGCGUUGUCCGGAUUUAUUGGGUUUAAAGGGUGCGUAGGCGGUCCUAUAAGUCAGUGCUGAAAUAUCCCGGCUUAACCGGGAGGGUGGCAUUGAUACUGCAGGACUUGAGUAAAGUUGAGGUAAGCGGAAUUGACGGUGUAGCGGUGAAAUGCUUAGAUAUCGUCAAGAACACCUAUUGCGAAGGCAGCUUACUAAGCUUUAACUGACGCUGAGGCACGAAAGUGUGGGGAUCAAACAGG
rnacentral:rRNA from 1 species